GAAAAAUGAAAAGUCGGUUUCACGGCCGGAACCCUAAUAGCUGCCAUCACCGUUCUCUCUCUCCUCUUAAAUGGGAUGAUCAACGAUAAACCAACAAAAGAGAAACUGAAGCAUAAGAUCACCAUUAGUUGAAAUCACCACAGUCUUCACCAGAUGCGACGGCUAGGGAUCCAUCUUCAACCAUCUUAGAGAAGGUGUCCAGAUCCUUGGGAACAAUAGCUUACGGUGAAUAGAUCCAGAUCCAGAUCUAAAAUCUUAAUCUUUGAGUAAGAAAGAGAGAGAGAGAACGAAAAGGAAAGUGCGGUCAGAUCCAUCUUUGAUUUGUGUUUUCUCUCCUCUGAUUAUCUUUCACAAUGCACAAGGUUUUCAAAAUGAAUGUUCUAGAUUAUAUUAUAAUCCAUGUAUAAAAAUGAACGGUAGAGAUUGUGAUCCGUGUGAAGUGUUUUAUUGUACUUAAAAGGCUUGAGUUAAGUAAGGGUAUAAGCGGAAACUAUUGUUUUAUG
rnacentral:lncRNA from 1 species